UUUUGUGAUGUUUGUGUUGCAGCUAGAUAAAUGCUGGGCUGGUAUAUGUUUGCUUGGGGUGACAUGUCAAGAAUGCAGUACGGAACGUUUCUUAGCUUCUUAUGCUGGAUGGUUUAACAAACUCGUACUCCACCUACAGGAUUCAUUAUUGAAUUGUAGAUAUGCCAAGGUUCAAGCGUUUGCAGAAGAAGCAAAAUUCAGUUCAGUCAGUAUCUCAUCCAGUUGCUGAAUUAGGACCUUCUUUUCUUCAAUCAACGCCAUGUCUGCCAACACAUCCGACCAUGUCAUUUCGGGCAACAACACAUCUGGCCCCAUCAUUUCAGCCUACAUCGCAGGUGACUCCAACAUUUCAGCCGGCAUCACAGCCGUCUCGAUCAGUUCACUCAAUAUCCCAUCCAACUCCGAUGGAUCAGGCCGCACCACAGCCGGCUCCAGCAGUUCACCAAGCAUCACAGCCAUCUCGAUCAGUUCAUUCGACAUCAAAUUUGGCUUCGACAGAUCAGGACUCACCACAACCAUCUCUGUCAGUUCACUCGACAUCACAUUUGGCUUCGACAGAUCAGGACUCAACACAGCCAGCUCCAACAGUUCAGGCUGCAUCCAAAAAGCGUUCUAGGUCGCAUUGGAUUGUAGACGCAAUAGAUUCAGAAGAAAAUAUCAGGAAACUCAGAGUUAAAGUUAAUGAAGUGAUCAAUUUAACGUGUGAAGAACGUAUUGUGGUUGAUUUUGAUUACUUGGAUGAACCAUUUGGAGAUGGACGCGGCCUUCUUUCACGCUUUUGUGGAAUUUUGGCGUGUGACUGCUCUUUAUUUCCAAUCAACUUUGAGAAAUGGUUAAGUUUACCUAUUUAUUUUAUACUUCAACUGCGUCUUCGAUCAAAUUAUAAAGGUAUAAGCUCUAUAUUAUUACAACUAUAUCACUGUCUCUUUUUUGGUGAGAAGCACAACUAUAUCAAAUUAUAAAGGUAUAAGCUAACCAAUGAUUUAUUCUUGAAGCCCAAGUUCUUCUUUAGGACAACCGAGUCAGUUGCAAUGGGACAUGUCUAUAAAUCUAUUGGAAAGAAGUGGGCUGCAAAUAAAAAUAACUUGUGGAAGACACAUGAAGACCUGCUUAAAAGUAAAACUGAGAUUAUUGAAAGUGUGCCGAAUGGGAUUCCACGUGAUUAAUGGAUUUCUUUUGUUGAUUACCAAUAUAAAGAUUCAACAAAGGUACUUAUGUAACUGCUUAUACUAGUCUUUCUAAUUAUAUAAUUAUUUGUUUUUCUAAUUGAGUUUCAAGUAUAUUUUUAUAAGGCAAUGCGAUUAAGAAAUGCUGAAAAUCGAAAGAAAUAGACUAUACCACACACAGGCGGCUCCAAAGCCAAUGCUACGAGAAGGGCUGAAAUGGUGAGUAAAUUAACUUGCUAUGUAAUUAUUUCUAUGUAGUAAAUAAUUCUGAUUUGAUUUUUAUUUAUAGAUGGCUCAGACUGGACAAAGGCCUGGACGAGCACAAAUAUACCUUGCUACUCAUAAGAAUCAAGAUGGAGUAUAUGUUAAUGAAGCAGCAAAAGAAAUAUGCGUAAGUUUUUGUGAAUUCUCAACUUAUCUCAAGAAACAAAUAAUAUGACUCUGAUUUUUGUAUAUUCUGCUUCAUAGUUAAAAGCCAUGCCUCUUAAGUUCUGUCUUCUUUAAUUCCAUGCGUUCCUAUUGGUUUAUUAGUGACAAUGAGUUUUGUAUGUGUAGGAAAAACUUGAGUUAGCUUUAAGCCAAAGCACCAUAGACGAGUCUCAAAUUUCGCGAAAUGAUGCCGUCGGCAAGGUGCUAGGAGAAGAGCACUCUGGGAGGGUGAGGUGCUUGGGAUUAGGACCUGUCCCCAGUAAAGUUUUUAAACAAGCAAGACCUCGUUUCAGCGGUACAAGUGCUUCAAGAAGUGAAGGUUCAUGUUCGUCCCAAUGUCAACAGAACCAUAAGAAAAUGAUAAAUGCUCAGGAAAAAAUGAUGAAUGCUUUCAAGGCAUAUAUGAUAAUGAAAGAAGGGAUGAUACCAGAACAGUUUGCGGGGUUCUUUGCUUCUUCUUCGGCGGUUUCUCCUACAACACCAAGUGAUGCGGCGAGUGGAUCCCUUUCGCCCAUGGACGCAAGAAGAUCAUGUUGUGAUAGUAAUCCUAGUGAUAACCGUUGAUUUCAUUGUAUUGUUUGGUAGGAACGGAUGUUAGAAUGCUGGGGUGAAUGUAUUGUGUUUAAAUUUAGUUUUUGAGUGAUCUGAUAAUGCUACUUAAAUUUUUAGUUUCAAAAGCUAAUGAUACUUUAUGAUAACAUUUGUGAUUUUACGAUA